rnacentral:sRNA from 1 species
GAAGAGAUGGCGAUUUUCUUCUGAGAGCUUUAUUUGUGAACCCUCUUGCAGUGUCACACUGAGUCCCCGCCAGGGCCUCCCGAGGAUCCCACUAAGGGGCAUCUUCCAGGGAGCGAAGGUGGUGCGAGGCCCCGACUGGGAGUGGGGCUCACAGGAUGGUGAGUGGAGGCAGAGGGGCGGGGUCAGGGCUGGGCUGUGGCUGGCUCAUGGCUCAGCCUUAGCCUGCUGGCGGGGACUCUUUCCCCAGGAGGGGAAGGGAAACCGGGCCGUGUGGUGGACAUCCGUGGCUGGGAUGUGGAGACAGGCCGGAGUGUGGCCAGCGUGACGUGGGCUGAUGGUACCACCAAUGUGUACCGUGUGGGCCACAAGGGCAAGGUGGACCUCAAGUGUGUGGGCGAGGCAGCGGGCGGCUUCUACUACAAGGACCACCUCCCAAGGCUCGGCAAGCCGGCGGAGCUGCAGCGCAGGGUGAGUGCUGACAGCCAGCCCUUCCAGCACGGGGACAAGGUCAAGUGUCUGCUGGACACUGAUGUCCUGCGGGAGAUGCAGGAAGGCCACGGCGGCUGGAACCCCAGGAUGGCGGAGUUUAUCGGACAGACGGGCACCGUGCAUCGUAUCACGGACCGCGGGGAUGUGCGCGUGCAGUUCAACCACGAGACGCGCUGGACCUUCCACCCCGGGGCGCUCACCAAGGUGCCGGGGGGGCUGGGCUGCGCCUCAUCUGCUUGCUUCUGUAACCCCUUCCACGUACCCCCUUGGCCUUGGGGGGUCAGGCAGGACUAGGGUGCCAGCUGCACCCACGAGUCCCCAGCCCUGAAGGAAGGGGAGGGACUGGUGGG